rnacentral:rRNA from 1 species
GAACGCUGGCGGUAUGCUUAACACAUGCAAGUCGAACGCCCCUUCGGGGGAGUGGCGGACGGGUGAGUAACGCGUGAGAAACUACCUUUAGUACGGGGACAACAGUUGGAAACGACUGCUAAUACCGGAUGAGCCUUAGGGUAAAAGAGAUAUCGACUAAAGAUGUGCUCGCGUCUGAUUAGCUAGUUGGUGAGGUAAGAGCUUACCAAGGCAACGAUCAGUAGCUGUUCUGAGAGGAAGACCAGCCACACUGGGACUGAGACACGGCCCAGACUCCUACGGGAGGCAGCAGUGGGGAAUUUUCCGCAAUGGGCGAAAGCCUGACGGAGCGAUACCGCGUGUGGGAGGAAGGCCUUUGGGUCGUAAACCACUUUUCUUAGGGAAGAAGAUCUGACGGUACCUAAGGAAUAAGCCUCGGCUAACUCCGUGCCAGCAGCCGCGGUAAU